rnacentral:rRNA from 1 species
AUUGAACGCUGGCGGCAGGCCUAACACAUGCAAGUCGAGCGGAUGAGUGGAGCUUGCUCCAUGAUUCAGCGGCGGACGGGUGAGUAAUGCCUAGGAAUCUGCCUGGUAGUGGGGGACAACGUUUCGAAAGGAACGCUAAUACCGCAUACGUCCUACGGGAGAAAGUGGGGGAUCUUCGGACCUCACGCUAUCAGAUGAGCCUAGGUCGGAUUAGCUAGUUGGUGAGGUAAAGGCUCACCAAGGCGACGAUCCGUAACUGGUCUGAGAGGAUGAUCAGUCACACUGGAACUGAGACACGGUCCAGACUCCUACGGGAGGCAGCAGUGGGGAAUAUUGGACAAUGGGCGAAAGCCUGAUCCAGCCAUGCCGCGUGUGUGAAGAAGGUCUUCGGAUUGUAAAGCACUUUAAGUUGGGAGGAAGGGCAGUAAGUUAAUACCUUGCUGUUUUGGCGUUACCAACAGAAUAAGCACCGGCUAACUUCGUG